rnacentral:rRNA from 1 species
CCUACGGGUGGCAGCAGUGAGGAAUAUUGGUCAAUGGACGCAAGUCUGAACCAGCCAUGCCGCGUGGAGGAUGAAGGUUUUCGGAUUGUAAACUCCUUUUGUUAGAGAAGAUAAUGACGGUAUCUAACGAAUAAGCACCGGCCAACUCCGUGCCAGCAGCCGCGGUAAUACGGAGGGUGCAAGCGUUACUCGGAAUCACUGGGCGUAAAGGGAGCGUAGGCGGGAUAGCAAGUCAGAUGUGAAAUCCUAUGGCUUAACCAUAGAACUGCAUUUGAAACUGUUAUUCUAGAGUAUGGGAGAGGUAGGUGGAAUUCUUGGUGUAGGGGUAAAAUCCGUAGAGAUCAAGAGGAAUACUCAUUGCGAAGGCGACCUGCUAGAACAUAACUGACGCUGAUGCGCGAAAGCGUGGGGAGCAAACAGGAUUAGAUACCCCUGUAGUC